UUGGAAUGCUUCUGAAUAAAGUCCUUCCUGCAGGAUCGGGAAGGCACAGCCAGAGAGGCUGCCUGCACUUUAUGUGUAACGCGCCGUCAACAUAUCCCUUCCAGCGACAAUCAAUGGACCCUUUUGGGGCUAGUAGCUCAGUUGGUUAGAGCACACGCUUGAUAAGCGUGGGGUCGGAGGUUCAAGUCCUCCCUGGCCCACCAGUCCUCUGUUCAUGUUCCGUAAGCGGGCAUCUUGUGAUGCUGGCUGAUGGACAUGGCCUGAUGGGGGCGUAGCUCAGCUGGGAGAGCACCUGCUUUGCAAGCAGGGGGUCGUCGGUUCGAUCCCGUCCGCCUCCACCACACUUUACUGGUGUUGAGAGGUCUGGGAAUGAUUGUCGCCGGAAGAUAAUGGAGAUCGGACGGAUAGCUUGUGGAACCGCGUUGGCGGUGCACGGGGUAUUGCGGUCUGGUAAGUUUGCUCUUUGAUAAGUGAAUAGGUUGGUGCGUUUGUGGGCGCGCCUUGAUCGCGGGUUGGUCUGACCCGUGUGAUGGUCCGAGCAGUCGGAGUAUCACAUGCUAGGCGAUUGGGGCGGAUGCGUUCACAAGCGAGUAUGAAUAUGUGUUGAUUGUGCUGAUGCACUGCACUUU
rnacentral:tRNA from 1 species